UACGAAGGGUGCUAGCGUUGUUCGGAAUUACUGGGCGUAAAGCGCACGUAGGCGGAUAUUUAAGUCAGGGGUGAAAUCCCAGAGCUCAACUCUGGAACUGCCUUUGAUACUGGGUAUCUUGAGUAUGGAAGAGGUAAGUGGAAUUGCGAGUGUAGAGGUGAAAUGCGUAGAUAUUCGCAGGAACACCGAUGGCGAAGGCGGCCCACUGGAUCGGUACUGACGCUGAGGUGCGAAAGCGUGGGGAGCAAACAGG
rnacentral:rRNA from 1 species